CACAGGUGCUGCAUGGCUGUCGUCAGCUCGUGUCGUGAGAUGUUGGGUUAAGUCCCGGCAACGGAGCCGCAACCCCUAUUGUUAGUUGCCAUCAUUCAGUUGGGCACUCUAGCGAGACUGCCGGUAAUAAACCGGAGGAAGGUGGGAUGACGUCAAAUCAUCAUGCCCUUAUGACCUGGGCUACACACGUGCUACAAUGGUUGGUACAACGAGUUGCGAGUCGGUGACGGCGAGCUAAUCUCUUAAAGCCAAUCUCAGUUCGGAUUGUAGGCUGCAACUCGCCUACAUGAAGUCGGAAUCGCUAGUAAUCGUGGAUCAGAAUGCCACGGUGAAUACGUUCCCGGGCCUU
rnacentral:rRNA from 1 species